GCUUCCCAGCUGGCUGAGCACUGGUUUAUAGACUUGUGUGUACAAAUUUAGCCAGCAGCAAACCUCACAUCUUUAAUAUAAAAGGUGUUUUGUUGUGUUUUUCAGGUGCUGAGUGAAAAGCCCACACUGCAGAAGCUCAUUAAAAGGGCCAAGUUACAGUACAGGUUUAUUUCUGUCACAGCGUUUCUGAAAACAGUGACAAGGAUUAAUAUGUUUCUUUAGUACUGGAAAAAGCCUGACGCAAUCCCUUGUGAAUUUGAUCAUCUGUUUCAUUGCCUGUAGAAGAUUCAGCUUCCUAUUAUAUCUGAAAGUUACAGCUGUAAACUACUACUGGGAAAUAAUAUCAAUAGGAAUUAAACCCAGAAAGUACUGUCUCCAUAUCAUUUUAAAAUGCUACGAUACUUUUGUAAAAGGAGCUUAAUAUUAAAAGAAUGGGAAAAAUGUUGGAAAUUCUAAGCAUGACCCUCUUUUGUUGUCUUGACAUUCAAUCCAGUGAGUCAGAUACAUGCUGUAAUGUACUGAAGAUACGUGCUGUAAUGUACUGAAGAUACAUGCUGUAAUGUACUGAAGAUACAUGCUGUAAUGUAUUGAAGAGGAGCUGCCCUGAGUUCAAACAACCUCUGAAAGUUAAAAAUAAGUUAAUGAUUGAUUGUCUAUGAAUAAAGAAUGUUGCCGAUCACAGUGUUUUGUGAAGACACUGAAUAAAGUG
ensembl:lincRNA 1810007C17Rik RIKEN cDNA 1810007C17 gene